UACGUAGGGCGCAAGCGUUGUCCGGAAUUAUUGGGCGUAAAGAGCUCGUAGGCGGCUUGUCACGUCGGGUGUGAAAGCCCGGGGCUUAACCCCGGGUCUGCAUCCGAUACGGGGCAGGCUAGAGUGUGGUAGGGGAGAUCGGAAUUCCUGGUGUAGCGGUGAAAUGCGCAGAUAUCAGGAGGAACACCGGUGGCGAAGGCGGAUCUCUGGGCCAUUACUGACGCUGAGGAGCGAAAGCGUGGGGAGCGAACAGG
rnacentral:rRNA from 1 species